AGCUCUGCAGCAGCAGUCCUCGACGCAGAGCAGAGUGUUUUUAUCUGCUGAUAUCUGCUCAAAUAAUGUCCCAACACCUCCAUGAUACGCUGCGCACCGCUGCGUUAUCCGCAAAAUGGGCUAUGUUUACUUUUAUCACAGUAGAGUUUGAAAAAAAUAGCUGAAUUAUGACCAUCUAAUUUACAUCAGAAGCAUGCUGCCCUCUCUUGCUCUCAGUCUGAUGUAUAUUUAAUCAGGUAAUGUCUGUGUCAUUGCUUCACAUCUUGUGUUUUAUAUAGACAACUACAACGAUCUUUGUCAAAAGAGAGAAGCAUUCAUCUUGGGGGAAGACAUAUGGAAAAAAAAUGAAGAUCAAGGAGAGGGGCAAAAAAGAAAACGUAAACCAAAAAGGUGGAUUGAAGAUGAUACAGAAGCAUCAAAACAGCCACAAGCAAAAAAGGUCUGUCGCGCUAAAGAGGCUGCAGAUCAAAUGAUUGAGGAAUUAAAAAGAGAUCUUAUGGAACAAGGAGUUGAGUCACCCGCUGACUUGUCAGAUGAAGACCAGCCACGGAACUGGAGCAGGGCGAUGCUCCAAAUUAAGCAAUUAAGAGCAGAGAACAAAAGGAUCCAAGCUGACAAUACAAAACAAAUUGUCGAGGCUCUAAGAGAGCUUCCAAAAGUUGUACAACAGUUGAAGGACAUCAGUGAGCAGUUGUCAUCCAUAUGCUGUCCCUCAAAAGCCAGUACAACAACUCAACACUUGUCAGUUCUUCCAUCUGCCGCUCAAGUGGAGUCUGAUGACAUGGUCUCUCUCCUGCCUAAUUCAUCUGUGCAAGUAAGCAGGAAGAAGUUCAACACACUGCGGACCAGCAACGCAUCCAUUUAUAUUGGAGACCUGGCAGUACUGGUGUUUGGGAGGGAAACACUGGCUCACUCAAGCUUAACAGGAAGGCAGUCUGGAGCACACAAGGAAGUGGAGUCCAAACCACAACUUGAUUGUCAAAAGGUUGAAGCCAUCAUUGACCAUGCCUUGUCCAAAUAUCCAAAUAUGAAUGUUCAAGAUGUCAGACGUAUUCUCCGAAAGAAAUGCAACA